rnacentral:rRNA from 1 species
GAGCUUGCUCUUAUGAAGUUAGCGGCGGACGGGUGAGUAACACGUGGGUAACCUGCCCAUAAGACUGGGAUAACUCCGGGAAACCGGGGCUAAUACCGGAUAACAUUUUGAACUGCAUGGUUCGAAAUUGAAAGGCGGCUUCGGCUGUCACUUAUGGAUGGACCCGCGUCGCAUUAGCUAGUUGGUGAGGUAACGGCUCACCAAGGCAACGAUGCGUAGCCGACCUGAGAGGGUGAUCGGCCACACUGGGACUGAGACACGGCCCAGACUCCUACGGGAGGCAGCAGUAGGGAAUCUUCCGCAAUGGACGAAAGUCUGACGGAGCAACGCCGCGUGAGUGAUGAAGGCUUUCGGGUCGUAAAACUCUGUUGUUAGGGAAGAACAAGUGCUAGUUGAAUAAGCUGGCACCUUGACGGUACCUAACCAGAAAGCCACGGCUAACUACGUGCCAGCA